UGGGGAAUAUUGGUCAAUGGGCGAAAGCCUGAACCAGCAAUGCCGCGUGAGUGAUGAAGGCCUUCGGGUUGUAAAGCUCUGUCAGUGGGAACGAAUAAGCCGAUUAAUACUCGGUGGUGACGGUACCCACAAAGGAAGCACCGGCUAACUCUGUGCCAGCAGCCGCGGUAAUACAGAGGGUGCAAGCGUUGUUCGGAAUUACUGGGCGUAAAGCGCGUGUAGGCGGUCUGGUAAGUCGGUCGUGAAAUCCCUAGGCUUAACCUAGGAACUGCGAUCGAAACUGUUAGACUUGAGUAUCGGAGGGGAUGGCGGAAUUCCUGGUGUAGAGGUGAAAUUCGUAGAUAUCAGGAGGAACACCUGUGGCGAAGGCGGCCAUCUGGAAGAUUACUGACGCUGAGACGCGAAAGCGUGGGGAGCAAACAGG
rnacentral:rRNA from 1 species